GAUGAACGCUGGCGGCGUGCCUAAUACAUGCAAGUCGAGCGAACAGACGAGGAGCUUGCUCCUCUGACAUUAGCGGCGGACGGGUGAGUAACACGUGGAUAACCUACCUAUAAGACUGGGAUAACUUCGGGAAACCGGAGCUAAUACCGGAUAAUAUAUUGAACCGCAUGGUUCAAUAGUGAAAGACGGUUUUGCUGUCACUUAUAGAUGGAUCCGCGCCGCAUUAGCUAGUUGGUAAGGUAACGGCUUACCAAGGCAACGAUGCGUAGCCGACCUGAGAGGGUGAUCGGCCACACUGGAACUGAGACACGGUCCAGACUCCUACGGGAGGCAGCAGUAGGGAAUCUUCCGCAAUGGGCGAAAGCUUGAUGGAGCAACGCCGCGUGAGUGAUGAAGGUCUUCGGAUCGUAAAACUCUGUUAUUAGGGAAGAACAAAUGUGUAAGUAACUAUGCACGUCUUGACGGUACCUAAUCAGAAAGCCACGGCUAACUACGUG
rnacentral:rRNA from 1 species